rnacentral:rRNA from 1 species
AACGAACGCUGGCGGCAUGCCUAACACAUGCAAGUCGAACGAGACCUUCGGGUCUAGUGGCGCACGGGUGCGUAACGCGUGGGAAUCUGCCCUUGGGUUCGGAAUAACAGUUAGAAAUGACUGCUAAUACCGGAUAAUGUCUUCGGACCAAAGAUUUAUCGCCCAGGGAUGAGCCCGCGUAGGAUUAGCUAGUUGGUGAGGUAAAGGCUCACCAAGGCGACGAUCCUUAGCUGGUCUGAGAGGAUGAUCAGCCACACUGGGACUGAGACACGGCCCAGACUCCUACGGGAGGCAGCAGUGGGGAAUAUUGGACAAUGGGCGAAAGCCUGAUCCAGCAAUGCCGCGUGAGUGAUGAAGGCCUAGGGUUGUAAAGCUCUUUUACCCGGGAUGAUAAUGACAGUACCGGGAGAAUAAGCCCCGGCUAACUCCGUGCCAGCAGCCGCGGUAAU